AACGAACGCUGGCGGCAGGCCUAACACAUGCAAGUCGAACGCCCCGCAAGGGGAGUGGCGCACGGGCGAGUAACGCGUGGGAAUAUGCCCUUCGGUUCGGAAUAACACAGGGAAACUUUUGCUAAUACCGGAUACGAUCUACGGAUGAAAGAUUUAUCGCCGAGGGGGGAGCCCGCGUAGGAUUAGCUAGUUGGUGAGGUAAUGGCUCACCAAGGCGACGAUCCUUAGCUGGUCUGAGAGGAUGAUCAGCCACACUGGGACUGAGACACGGCCCAGACUCCUACGGGAGGCAGCAGUGGGGAAUAUUGGACAAUGGGCGAAAGCCUGAUCCAGCCAUGCCGCGUGAGUGAUGAAGGCCUUAGGGUUGUAAAGCUCUUUCGCCAGGGAAGAUACUGACGGUACCUGGAAAAGAAGCCUCGGCUAACUCCGUGCCAGCAGCCGCCGUAA
rnacentral:rRNA from 1 species